UACGGGAGGCAGCAGUGGGGAAUAUUGCACAAUGGGCGCAAGCCUGAUGCAGCCAUGCCGCGUGUAUGAAAAAGGCCUUCGGGUUGUAAAGUACUUUCAGUCGUGAGGAAGGUGUUAAGGUUAAUAACCUUAGCAAUUGACGUUAGCGACAGAAGAAGCACCGGCUAACUCCGUGCCAGCAGCCGCGGUAAUACGGAGGGUGCGAGCGUUAAUCGGAAUUACUGGGCGUAAAGGGCACGCAGGCGGUUAAUUAAGUUGGAUGUGAAAUCCCCGGGCUUAACCUGGGAAUGGCAUUCAAGACUGGUUAGCUAGAGUCUUGUAGAGGGGGUAGAAUUCCAUGUGUAGCGGUGAAAUGCGUAGAGAUGUGGAGGAAAUAACCGGUGGCGGAAAGGCGGCCCCCUGGACAAAAGACUGACGCUCAUGUGCGAAAAGCGUGGGGAGCAAAACAGGGAUUAAGAUAACC
rnacentral:rRNA from 1 species